rnacentral:rRNA from 1 species
AAAUUGAAGAGUUUGAUCAUGGCUCAGAUUGAACGCUGGCGGCAGGCCUAACACAUGCAAGUCGAACGGUAACAGGAAACAGCUUGCUGUUUCGCUGACGAGUGGCGGACGGGUGAGUAAUGUCUGGGAAACUGCCUGAUGGAGGGGGAUAACUACUGGAAACGGUAGCUAAUACCGCAUAACGUCGCAAGACCAAAGAGGGGGACCUUCGGGCCUCUUGCCAUCGGAUGUGCCCAGAUGGGAUUAGCUAGUAGGUGGGGUAAAGGCUCACCUAGGCGACGAUCCCUAGCUGGUCUGAGAGGAUGACCAGCCACACUGGAACUGAGACACGGUCCAGACUCCUACGGGAGGCAGCAGUGGGGAAUAUUGCACAAUGGGCGCAAGCCUGAUGCAGCCAUGCCGCGUGUAUGAAGAAGGCCUUCGGGUUGUAAAGUACUUUCAGCGGGGAGGAAGGGAGUAAAGUUAAUACCUUUGCUCAUUGACGUUACCCGCAGAAGAAGCACCGGCUAACUCCGUGCCAGCAGCCGCGGUAAUACGGAGGGUGCAAGCGUUAAUCGGAAUUACUGGGCGUAAAGCGCACGCAGGCGGUUUGUUAAGUCAGAUGUGAAAUCCCCGGGCUCAACCUGGGAACUGCAUCUGAUACUGGCAAGCUUGAGUCUCGUAGAGGGGGGUAGAAUUCCAGGUGUAGCGGUGAAAUGCGUAGAGAUCUGGAGGAAUACCGGUGGCGAAGGCGGCCCCCUGGACGAAGACUGACGCUCAGGUGCGAAAGCGUGGGGAGCAAACAGGAUUAGAUACCCUGGUAGUCCACGCCGUAAACGAUGUCGACUUGGAGGUUGUGCCCUUGAGGCGUGGCUUCCGGAGCUAACGCGUUAAGUCGACCGCCUGGGGAGUACGGCCGCAAGGUUAAAACUCAAAUGAAUUGACGGGGGCCCGCACAAGCGGUGGAGCAUGUGGUUUAAUUCGAUGCAACGCGAAGAACCUUACCUGGUCUUGACAUCCACGGAAGUUUUCAGAGAUGAGAAUGUGCCUUCGGGAACCGUGAGACAGGUGCUGCAUGGCUGUCGUCAGCUCGUGUUGUGAAAUGUUGGGUUAAGUCCCGCAACGAGCGCAACCCUUAUCCUUUGUUGCCAGCGGUCCGGCCGGGAACUCAAAGGAGACUGCCAGUGAUAAACUGGAGGAAGGUGGGGAUGACGUCAAGUCAUCAUGGCCCUUACGACCAGGGCUACACACGUGCUACAAUGGCGCAUACAAAGAGAAGCGAUCUCGCGAGAGCAAGCGGACCUCAUAAAGUGCGUCGUAGUCCGGAUUGGAGUCUGCAACUCGACUCCAUGAAGUCGGAAUCGCUAGUAAUCGUGGAUCAGAAUGCCACGGUGAAUACGUUCCCGGGCCUUGUACACACCGCCCGUCACACCAUGGGAGUGGGUUGCAAAAGAAGUAGGUAGCUUAACCUUCGGGAGGGCGCUUACCACUUUGUGAUUCAUGACUGGGGUGAAGUCGUAACAAGGUAACCGUAGGGGAACCUGCGGUUGGAUCACCUCCUUA